rnacentral:rRNA from 1 species
CCUACGGGAGGCAGCAGUAGGGAAUCUUCCACAAUGGGCGAAAGCCUGAUGGAGCAACGCCGCGUGGAUGAAGAAGGUCUUCGGAUCGUAAAACCCUGUUGUUAGAGAAGAAAGUGCGUGAGAGUAACUGUUCACGUUUCGACGGUAUCUAACCAGAAAGCCACGGCUAACUACGUGCCAGCAGCCGCGGUAGUACGUAGGUGGCAAGCGUUAUCCGGAUUGAUUGGGCGUAAAGGGAACGCAGGCGGUCUUUUAAGUCUGAUGUGAAAGCCUUCGGCUUAACCGGAGUAGUGCAUUGGAAACUGGGAGACUUGAGUGCAGAAGAGGAGAGUGGAACUCCAUGUGUAGCGGUGAAAUGCGUAGAUAUAUGGAAGAACACCAGUGGCGAAAGCGGCUCUCUGGUCUGUAACUGACGCUGAGGUUCGAAAGCGUGGGUAGCAAACAGGAUUAGAUACCCUUGUAGUC